AAUAAAACUAACCGGUUAAGACAAAAAAAAACUAAAGAAAGAUUGCUACACGGAGAAAGGAGAAAGGGAGACCGAGAGAAAAGUGAGACAGAAAAAUAGAGAGGCAGAGAACGGAGAAGGAGAGAGAGAUCGAGAGAUCAAAAACUGCAGUUUGCAAUCAAGAAUGAAAAGAUGUCUCUCACUUCCUGUUAGAUUUUCUGCCAUCACCGUAAGCCUCCACUCGCUACCCGACCAUCGGAAUCACUACUGAUUUGGUUUUGAUUAAGGGAAGGAGACAAAAAAAAAAAGUUUGCGGCACAAUGGAGAUUCGACUGAAACUGAAAGGUCAAGAAGGAUUCCCCAAAUUUUCUUUUGUUGGAUUUAUAUUUUGGGUUAGAAUCCAAUCCUACUUUUAAUUUUGAUUUUAGGUUUUUGAAUGUUUUGGUAGAUAUUUAGAUUCCAAAAACAGCGAUUGAUAGAGAUCAUAAGGCAGAGAGAGAAACAUUUGAGGACUGCCAUUACCGCCAUUCUGGCCUUCCACAAUCAUGAUUCAUCCGGUCUCUCGCUGACUUGCUAUCAACAAGUUUCGAUUUUGUAAAACAUUUUUUACUUUUUGAGAAAGAAAUUGGCAUUAAAUAUUAUUUAGGCUUGGGAUUGUUUUUGCUAUACGUAUUUGGCUGAGAUUAAGGUAUUUUCAUUAUUUUGCUUUGAUUGUUUUUGCUUAAACCUUAUGACUGACUACCUUUUGCUGUUUACAUAUAAAGAAACCGAAACAUUUAGAAUCAACAUUAAGAGAAAGUUGGUAUCUGUAAGUCACGCACAAAGACGAAGAGAUGGACAGCGAGAAAGAGGAAACAGAGUAUUCCCACCCAUUGGCAGAUUUCUCAAACUCAAACCAACCUCACCGCUGCCAUCAUCACACUGCCACCAUCAUCACACUCCUGCCAACAACCCAAGUCAGCCCCAGUUGCAGCGACCCACCACCACCACCUCCGAUCUUGAUGUAGUGCUGCAUGCUCCCCACUUGACUUCAUCUUGGUUUUGGUUAAUUUUGGAGUUUGAUUUCAUCUGGUUCUUGCUGGUUCUGUGAUGGGUUAUUGCUAAUUUUAGUUUUUGGGUUUUUCUAUUAUGAUGGGUUAUUGCUAAUUUUAGUUUUUGGGAUUUUGUAUUUGGGUGGUACCACCUUGAUUUGUGGUUGAGGUUGGGCAGGUUUUGUGAUUUUGUUGUUGGAAGAAGAUAGGGAUCGGUGGUUGAGGUUGGGGUAGGGGUGAUUUUGUGGUUUUGUUGUGAGAAGAAAACAGAGGAG